rnacentral:rRNA from 1 species
UACGUAGGUGGCAAGCGUUGUCCGGAUUUACUGGGCGUAAAGGGCGUGAAGGCGGUCUGUUAAGUGCAGGGUGAAAGCUCCCGGCUCAACUGGGAGAGGUCCUUGCAUACUGGCGGACUUGAGGGGGGUAGAGGAAAGUGGAAUUCCCGGUGUAGUGGUGAUAUGCGUAGAUAUCGGGAGGAACACCAGUGGCGAAGGCGACUUCCUGGCCUGUUCUUGACGCUGAGGCGCGAAAGCUAGGGGAGCAAACGGG